rnacentral:rRNA from 1 species
GAUGAACGCUGGCGGCGUGCCUAACACAUGCAAGUCGAACGGACUUUUAAUGAAGCCUAGCGAUUUAAAAGUUAGUGGCGGACGGGUGAGUAACGCGUGGGUAACCUGCCUCACACUGGGGGGAUAACACUUAGAAAUAGGUGCUAAUACCGCAUAAGCGCACGAAGUCGCAUGACUUAGUGUGAAAAACUCCGGUGGUGUGAGAUGGACCCGCGUCUGAUUAGCUAGUUGGUGGGGUAACGGCCUACCAAGGCGACGAUCAGUAGCCGGCCUGAGAGGGUGAACGGCCACAUUGGGACUGAGACACGGCCCAAACUCCUAACGGGAGGCAGCAGUGGGGGAAUAUUGGGCAAUGGACGCAAGUCUGACCCAGCAACGCCGCGUGAAGGAGAAGGCUUCGGGUUGUAAGCUCUAUCAGCAGGAAGAAAUGACGGUACCUGAC